rnacentral:rRNA from 1 species
GACAGAGGAGCCAAGCGUUGUCCGGAAUUACUGGGCGUAAAGCGUGCGCAGGCGGUUUUGUAAGUCUGUCGUGAAAGCCCCGGGCUCAACCUGGGAACUGCGUUUGAAACUACAAGGCUAGAGUGUGGCAGAGGGGGGUGGAAUUCCACGUGUAGCAGUGAAAUGCGUAGAGAUGUGGAGGAACACCGGAUGGCGAAGGCAGCCCCCUGGGUUAACACUGACGCUCAGGCACGAAAGCGUGGGGAGCAAACAGG